rnacentral:rRNA from 1 species
GCCCUUCGGGGUGGAUUAGUGGCGAACGGGUGAGUAACACGUGGGCAAUCUGCCCUGCACUCUGGGACAAGCCCUGGAAACGGGGUCUAAUACCGGAUAUGACCAUCUUGGGCAUCCUUGAUGGUGUAAAGCUCCGGCGGUGCAGGAUGAGCCCGCGGCCUAUCAGCUUGUUGGUGAGGUAAUGGCUCACCAAGGCGACGACGGGUAGCCGGCCUGAGAGGGCGACCGGCCACACUGGGACUGAGACACGGCCCAGACUCCUACGGGAGGCAGCAGUGGGGAAUAUUGCACAAUGGGCGAAAGCCUGAUGCAGCGACGCCGCGUGAGGGAUGACGGCCUUCGGGUUGUAAACCUCUUUCAGCAGGGAAGAAGCGAAAGUGACGGUACCUGCAGAAGAAGCGCCGGCUAACUACGUGCCAGCAGCCGCGGUAAUACGUAGGGCGCAAGCGUUGUCCGGAAUUAUUGGGCGUAAAGAGCUCGUAGGCGGCUUGUCACGUCGAUUGUGAAAGCUCGGGGCUUAACCCCGAGUCUGCAGUCGAUACGGGCUAGCUAGAGUGUGGUAGGGGAGAUCGGAAUUCCUGGUGUAGCGGUGAAAUGCGCAGAUAUCAGGAGGAACACCGGUGGCGAAGGCGGAUCUCUGGGCC